UGGGGAAUUUUGCGCAAUGGGGGAAACCCUGACGCAGCAACGCCGCGUGGAGGAUGAAAUAUCUUGGUAUGUAAACUCCUUUCGAUGGGGAAGAUUAUGACGGUACCCAUAGAAGAAGCCCCGGCUAACUUCGUGCCAGCAGCCGCGGUAAUACGAGGGGGGCAAGCGUUGUUCGGAUUUAUUGGGCGUAAAGGGUGCGUAGGCGGUUUGGCAAGUCUUAUGUGAAAUCUAUGGGCUCAACCCAUAGUCUGCAUAAGAAACUGCCGGGCUUGAGUAUGGGAGAGGUGAGUGGAAUUUCCGGUGUAGCGGUGAAAUGCGUAGAUAUCGGAAGGAACACCUGUGGCGAAAGCGGCUCACUGGACCAUAACUGACGCUGAGGCACGAAAGCUAGGGGAGCAAACAGGAUUAGAUACCCGUGUAGUCC
rnacentral:rRNA from 1 species